rnacentral:rRNA from 1 species
GACAGAGGGUGCAAACGUUGUUCGGAGUUACUGGGCGUAAAGCGUGCGUAGGUGGUUCGUUAAGUCUGAUGUGAAAGCCCUGGGCUCAACCUGGGAAUGGCAUUGGAUACUGGCGACCUAGAGUGCGGUAGAGGGGUGUGGAAUUCCCGGUGUAGCAGUGAAAUGCGUAGAUAUCGGGAGGAACAUCUGUGGCGAAGGCGACACCCUGGACCAGCACUGACACUGAGGCACGAAAGCGUGGGGAGCAAACAGG